GACGAACGCUGGCGGCGUGCUUAACACAUGCAAGUCGAACGGAAAGGCCCUGCUUUUGUGGGGUGCUCGAGUGGCGAACGGGUGAGUAACACGUGAGUAACCUGCCCUUGACUUUGGGAUAACUUCAGGAAACUGGGGCUAAUACCGGAUAGGAGCUCCUGCUGCAUGGUGGGGGUUGGAAAGUUUCGGCGGUUGGGGAUGGACUCGCGGCUUAUCAGCUUGUUGGUGGGGUAGUGGCUUACCAAGGCUUUGACGGGUAGCCGGCCUGAGAGGGUGACCGGCCACAUUGGGACUGAGAUACGGCCCAGACUCCUACGGGAGGCAGAAGUGGGGAAUAUUGCACAAUGGGCGGAAGCAUGAUGCAGCAACGCCGCGGGAGGGAUAACGGCCGUCGGGUUGUAAACCGCUUUCGCCUGUGACGAAGCGUGAGUGACGGUAAUGGGUAAAGAAGCACCGGCUAACUACGUG
rnacentral:rRNA from 1 species